UCCGGCCCGAAGCAACUUCUUAGUGAGUGACUCCGCACCUUAAUGAUUGUCAUAGAUACUUUCAUGGACCUCUCACAUUACAUAGUCAGACCCUUCUGGUCCUAUACAUCUUUCCAUUGGACCAAAGAAACACCUUUGGUUGAGCAAAACAUCUACGAUUCAAUAUCAAGCUGCCUUAGCUCGUAAACCCAAUGAUUCCUUCAGAUCCUCUGGCAGCUUUUCGUGGUUAAGAUAGUCCGAAAAUUCAUUCCGCCAAUCCUAAACUAGGCUUGUAGAGUUGAUCUCAUCAUAACCAGUCCAGUAUAGUGCCGAGUGUAGCAAUUGGACCACUGACUCAGAACUCAAGCCCGAUGCCUCUGUUGAAGAGCCCAAAUUGGCAAGUGCGUCCGCUUCUAUAUUCUCUUCUCUAGGUACGUGCACCAAAGUCCACUUUUGAAAUCGGGCAAGCAAUGUUAGCACCUUUUCAAGGUACCGCAGCAUGCACUCAUCUUUGGCCUCAAACACACCGUGCACUUGAUUUACCACCAAAAGUGAGUCAUACUUUGCCUCAAUGACCUCUGCGCCGAGUCCCCAGGCUAGCUCAAGACCUGCAAUCAAAGCUUCGAACUCCGCUUCAUUGUUAGUUAGAGGCACGCUACUAAUCGCUUGCCUCAAAAUUUCUCCUGUUGGAGUGUGGAGUACCACACGCAGCCCCGUUCCUUUAACGUUGGAUGCCCCAUCGUUGAAGAGCCUCCACACUCCGAGUGCAAGCCCCGAUACCAAGGAAGCCUUCUUUUCGGCUUGGGGAGUUAUACCCAGGUUAAAAUCAGCCACAAAGUCCGUGAGGACUUGUGAUUUGAUCGUAGUAUGGGGCUUAUAUGUAAUAUCAAAUUUACUUAACUCAAUUGCCUAUUUGGCCAACCGCCCUGAUAAAUCCGGCUUGUGAAGCACAUUCCGCAAAGGAAACGUGGUCACAAUAGCAAUUGGGUGACAUUGGAAAUAUGGUUGGAGCUUUUACGAAGCCAUUACUAGAGCAAAGGCCAGCCUUUCCGAGAGAGGGUACCGCGUUUCAGCCCUCGACAUAACUCGGCUUACAUAAUAGACAGGAAUUGCGUGCCUUGGUCUUCUCGUACUGGGACAGCAUUUACCACUAAUUCCGAUACGACCAAGUAAACCAUUAACACCUCUCCGUGUUUCGACUUUGACAUGAGCGGAGGGGAGGACAGGUAUGCCUUGAGAUCUUGCAGCGCCUACUGACAUUCCGGUGUCCAUUCAAACUCGUUCUUCUUUUUGAGCAAAGAGAAAAACUUGUGGCACUUCUCUAAAGACCUAGAUAUAAACCUGCAAGCGCGGCUAUGCCCCAGUAAAUACAUGCACUUGAGCCUAUUGUAAUGUAAAGUCAUGAAAGCCUGCCAGUUAAUCGUUGUACCACCUUGACAUCCUGUAGCGUAUCCGGAAUGUCCUCUAUUGUCUUUAUCUUCCCUGGGUUUAUUUCAAUCCACCUUUGAGAGAUAAGGAAACACAGGAUUUUCCCAGAUCUGACCCCGAAUGCGCAUUUCUCCAGAUUCAGCUUCAUGUUGUACUGCCUCAGGACUCAAACGUAUCCUGCAAAUGACUUAUAUGGUCCCCAAUACGGAGACUCAUGACCAACAUAUCAUCAAUAUAUACUUUCAUUAUUUUCCCUAUUUGUUGCUCAAACAUUUUGUUUACAAGCCUCUGGUAAGUGGCUCCAGCAUUCUUCAAACCAAAGGGCAUUACAUUAUAGCAGUAAGUACCAAAUUUGGUGAUGAAUGAGGUUUUCUCUUGAUCCUCUGGGUGCACCCUUAUUUGGUUAUACCCUGAGUAAGUAUCGAGAAAACUCAUUACUUCAUGACCGGUGUUACACCUCGUGAAUUUUCGCAUCGUCGUAAGCCAACUAAUGUGAGUCCAGAGAUGCUAUGAUACCCCUAUAAGGUUAAGGAAGACUUUUAAUAAGUGUUAGACAAGUAUUUAAAGGUUUCGGGAUCAAGCGAAUCAUAGAAAUUAGGUUCGUUGAAAAUUGGAAAAACUUGGAAGAAUUUUGGAUAGGAUUUUUGGUCCAACUUCAAAGAGGCAUAUCUACUAGAAUAUGAGGAGUUACGGAAUCCAUAACCUAUGUAAAUUGAAGUUCACCAAGUCUUGUUUCUAAUGCAACUAACAGAUCGCAUUUCUGUGAAGUACGGAGGAAAGUACGAUCCGUACAAAAUUUUGGGCGUAUUUUGCCAAAAUUUCCAAAAAGUUAAAAAUUUUAACUCCAAAGUACGGGAUGAACAGUAGCAUGUACUUUGAAGUACGGGAUGACCAGUAGCCCGUACUUUGCCCGAAAUUUUCAAGAUUUGAAGUCGGUGGAAUUUUUUUCUAAGACUAUAAAUAGCCAUUUCCACGACCUAGGCUUCAUUUUUUCACCCAAAUUAAAUCCCUAAUGCCUCUCUAAGCUUCCUUUAACAUCCAUAACCACCCUAAAUCAAAUCGAGGAAGGAUCAAACUCUUAAAUCCUCAACUAGUUUAUAAAAAGGUGUUUUCUCUUGUUUCUACAUAGAGUUGUGGUGAACUUGGCCUUGAAACAAGUUGUGUGAGUUGAAGUUCUUCAAAUACAAGGUAUGUUCUUCACCCGAUUUGUAUGGUUGAGUUGAUGUAAAGGUUUAAUACCCCUUAAAAAGGAAAAUAAUUAAAGUAGAGAAGCUAUAAGUGUUGUAGUGAAGAAGAUGACUAUGAGGUGAACUCGAAAAGGGGAUUAUGGUUAAAUUUGAGACUAAUUUGAAUGUAACUUCUUGAUUAUGAUAUUAUGGAUGUUGUUAUUGUUGUUUGGGAGCUGUUUUGCAAUAUGGUGGAAGUCGAUAAAAUAGGUGAAGUGCUGCCUAAAUUCCGUUAGCCUUUUAGUUGCUCUAGUUUGAACUUAAGCAUGUUUUCAAGACUUAACCUUAUUAUAAAUCCUCUUGAAUGUAGAUUUUGCGGGCUUUGGAGGAAAACAUUAGUAGUUAAGAAGACGUGAAGGUAGGUAGGGAGACGGAUCAGAUCCCUAGGAGCUUCAUUUGCGGAGUCUCAGGAGCGCUCCAUUUGCUUCGGAACUGCAGUCUAUUGCGCAAGUGAUAUGAUCCUACUUGGCACACUUCACUUCAAGACAUCCACCCAAGGCCAAGGCAUGGAACUUCACACUCUACAAGCGGCGUGGAUGACAAGGAUGGCAUGGAAGGCCUUUGGAGGCUCUUGUGAGCCACACAAGAUGGCUUACGAUGUGUGGAAGGUAGCUUGGGCGAGGCUCGGAGAAGAAGCUACUAGAAAGGAGGCCUAGAACUCAAAAGUGGCUAGAAGUGCAAAGGGAUAAAAAUGCAAAUAUGGCUAGACGUGCAAAAGAAGGGGCAUAGAUGCAAAUGGUCACAAUUGCAAGCUUUGAGGAUUGGAUGAUGGCUAUAUGUGCAAGACGGAGUCUUUUCAAGUUUCAAGCCAACAUCCAACUAGCCAAACAAGGCCCUUGCCUCAUUAAUGGCAUUUUUGUAAUAACUUUGUCUUCUUUAGUCUAGGAGUAUAAAUACUAGACUUAGAUAUUUCAUUUACUUAGAUUAUGGUGAAUUGAGAAUACUCCUUUGGAGAGAUAGAUUAUUUAGCUAGGAUUAGCUUUA